rnacentral:piRNA from 1 species
UAAAAUGUGGUAUAAGGGCUGGAGAUGUA